rnacentral:pre_miRNA from 1 species
UGUAAACAUCCUUGACUGGAAGCUAGUGCUUUGUCCUGGAGCUUUCAGUCGGAUGUUUGCAGC